AACAGUGAUAGGGAAUGCAUUGACCUUCGAAAAGAAACCAAGGAACCAGUAAGUGACACAAUAUGAGAAUCACUGAAAAUGCACUUUCUUUCAGUGUGUGUGCAUGGGAUGGAUGGUGGUUGACUUUAUGAAGAUAUCUUUAAAGUAUGGAACACAGAGAGAGAGCUAUUUCCACAUUAGGUUGAUCAGGUAUGAGAUAACAUAUCAAUGAGGUUUAACCAACCACAGAUUAAAUGAAUGGAUUCAGUUUUUUCACAUGAUUAAACUAACAAAUAGUCGCAUAGAUGCAGAAAAUCUUCAUGUAAAGGAAAGCCUGCAACAUACAUUGUACAAAAUGAUGCAGACA
rnacentral:misc_RNA from 1 species